UACGGAAGGCAGCAGUGGGGAAUAUUGCACAAUGGGCGCAAGCCUGAUGCAGCCAUGCCGCGUGUAUGAAGAAGGCCUUCGGGUUGUAAAGUACUUUCAGUCGUGAGGAAGGUGUUAAGGUUAAUAACCUUAGCAAUUGACGUUAGCGACAGAAGAAGCACCGGCUAACUCCGUGCCAGCAGCCGCGGUAAUACGGAGGGUGCGAGCGUUAAUCGGAAUUACUGGGCGUAAAGGGCACGCAGGCGGUUAAUUAAGUUGGAUGUGAAAUCCCCGGGCUUAACCUGGGAAUGGCAUUCAAGACUGGUUAGCUAGAGUCUUGUAGAGGGGGUAGAAUUCCAUGUGUAGCGGUGAAAUGCGUAGAGAUGUGGAGGAAUACCGGUGGCGAAGGCGGCCCCUGGACAAAGACUGACGCUCGAUGUGCGAAAGCGUGGGGAGCAAACAGGAUUAGAUACC
rnacentral:rRNA from 1 species